rfam:Hordeum vulgare subsp. vulgare, WGS project CAJW01000000 data, contig: morex_contig_2554090
AUAGUACUCCCUCCGUUCUAAAAUUCUUGUGUUAACUUUGUCUAGAAAUGAAUGUAUCUAAAUACUAAAACUUGAUUAGAUACAUUCAUAUCUAAACAAAUUUAAUUAAGACAAGAAUUUUAGGACAAAGGAAGUACUAA